GACGAACGCUGGCGGCGUGCUUAACACAUGCAAGUCGGACGGAAAGGCCCUGCUUUUGUGGGGUGCUCGAGUGGCGAACGGGUGAGUAACACGUGAGUAACCUGCCCUUGACUUUGGGAUAACUUCAGGAAACUGGGGCUAAUACCGGAUAGGAGCUCCUGCUGCAUGGUGGGGGUUGGAAAGUUUCGGCGGUUGGGGAUGGACUCGCGGCUUAUCAGCUUGUUGGUGGGGUAGUGGCUUACCAAGGCUUUGACGGGUAGCCGGCCUGAGAGGGUGACCGGCCACAUUGGGACUGAGAUACGGCCCAGACUCCUACGGGAGGCAGCAGUGGGGAAUAUUGCACAAUGGGCGGGAGCCUGAUGCAGCAACGCCGCGUGCGGGAUGACGGCCUUCGGGUUGUAAACCGCUUUCGCCUGUGACGAAGCGUGAGUGACGGUAAUGGGUAAAGAAGCACCGGCUAACUACGUG
rnacentral:rRNA from 1 species